GGGCUGUCUUCUCCCCAAGCCCGCCCCGACCACCACAGCCCGGUUGGUCCGGCACUUCUUGAAAAAAAACUAUCCAGUUUUCUCUUGAAAAUGUUCACGUUUGUUCCAGCAAUAUUUUUUGUGCUCGCUUGGAGUAUCGUUUAACAACCGCGGACCGCUGAUGUUUAUACAGUGUUCUCCGAUUGUGAAUAUGGCACCUCUGCUCUUCACUGGUUCUAUUCUGCAGUUCCUUCCAUAUCGUUCACUCCAGUUUGGUGAGCACUGGACUAGACUGAGAUGCACAACGAGAAGGUGGAGUUGUAAAAAGUCUUGCGAUUAAGGGGUUUUACACCGUCAAGAGAUUCAGUUGCCACGAGUCGUCAGCGGGUGUUGCCACGAGUCGUCAGCGGGGUGUUGCCACGAGUCUUCAGCGGGGUGUUGCCACGAGUCGUCAGCGGGGUGUUGCCACGAGUCGUCAGCGGGGUGUUGCCACGAGUCGUCAGCGGGGUGUUGCCACGAGUCGUCACCAGGUGUUGCCACGAGUCACCAGGUGUUGCCACGAGUCCCCAGCACGCUGACCACUUUUAUUACACACUCCUGCUCCUAGGAGCAAGCACUGAGGCGACGCAGCACACCAGGAAACCUGUUGACAGCUCCCUCUCUCUCUCACACACCAAAUUAAAUUCAUA